AUGGAAUGCUCAGUUUGACGGGAGAGGGAAAGAGAAGCUCUUUCUUUUCGCGCUUAUGCGGUGGUUUGACAACAGCGGUGUUUACAGAUGUUGAAAGGCAAACGAGGUGUAAGCGCGUGCAGUUUAAGUAGCUGCCGGAUACGGGCAGAAGCGCUGGCCAGAGCUUUCAACAGCCGGAUAUGGCCGUGCACGUGGGUCGAUCGCGGAGCGCCGGAUGAUAAGGAUAGCCUUUCGAACGGUGUGAGUGCGGACGAUGACGAAGAAUUCUUCGACGCGUCUCCCUCUCCGAUAGAGAACGAAGAAGAAUCUCUCUAUUCCCGUUACGGUGAGAGCUCAGCCGCGACUGAGGCAGGUAGAACAAAAUUAUUUGAACUCUUACAGCAGCAUGCUUCUGAUGACGCAACUGAUGUUUUUUAUGACGUCAGCGAAGAUGCCGGUCUGUCAGAGAAUGUCAACCAUAUCGCUGAUGAAACGUGCCUUAAAGAUGAAAACGUCGGUGAGCAAUCUAAAAAUGAAAAUUUCCUAGAAUCUACUAAAACAGAUGACGAGAAAAUUAAUUCAAGUAAUACCUCUCUAUCGACUGAGACCGUAGAAAGCGAAAUAAUCACAAACUUGCCAUAUGUUAAUCAUUCUGAUAGCAAUCAAAUAAUCACUAAUUCCGCAGCUAUUAUUAAUAACCACUCUGACGUCUCAGUAACAACCGCUUGUUCUGUAAAUGAUAGUAGCUUUAAUUUUGAAGAAGAUAAAAAUAUUAGCAAUGCAGUCCCUGCUUCAGAGGUUGGUAAUUGUUACGUUAAAGAGUUAUCUAAUUUUGAUAUUGAAAAUCCUAACGUUCAAGAUAAAGAAUUUCUGGUAACUCAACCAAAAUGCCAAGAACUAAGUAGUGGUACAGAUAUAAAUUUAGAUUAUAAUAAUAUAGAAUCAUCUAGAACCGAAGAGAGACAACAUGAAGAUUCCCCAGAUGACGAAACUAUUGAGAUUAAUUUAAAUGAAAAAUUUAUAUCGCUACGUAAAAUAGAUUCAGAAAUUAAAGUAACGAAACAUGAUGCAGAAACGGAAUCUAGUGAAUAUUCCGAAACAGUAGAAAAUAGUGAAACAGAUGAAGUGGCUAUCAAAGUUAUCGAUGAAUUAAACGAUUUGCCUUCUGAAAGGGAAUAUGAAUUACCGACAAUAUCUCCAACCGCAGACCGUAGCAACAGGUUGCAGGUAUUUGAUGAAUGUAGACCUAAGAUUUCUCGUAGCACAUCUCUCAAAACGGGAAAGACCCCACCUGGCACUCCGAGCAGGAAAAAAAUUGUUCGAUUCGCUGAUGUACUAGGACUAGACUUGGAAGAUGUUCGUCAUAUAAUGACAACUGACGUACCCAUUAUUCCAUCUUCUGCGUACACCGAUUUAGACCUAAACGAUGACGACUUACUAUCUAUAACUCCAGUCUCUGAAACCGUCGAAAUCAAAAGCAGACAACCUGACUCGUGGGAAACUGUGCAGGUUUCUGCAAGUCCAAAUAUUCUAUGUGCCAUGUUCCCAAAUCCUGGACAGCAGUCGGACUUCAUGGACAGAGUUAGGAAUCAAGGUAUUUGUCUGGAGUCUGUGAUCAUCUCGGACAUGAGUGUGCAGUGCACGUGCCGGGUGAUGAACUGGGGUUACAAAAAGAGAGUGGUUGCCAGGUAUACUGUCAAUGAAUGGGCGUCUUCGAAUGACAUAGAUGCCUCUUACGUGCCUGGUUCGUCACAAGGAGAAACUGACAGCUUCGUUUUUAAUAUCUUUUUGUCUCCCCUCAUAAAGAAGGUGCAAUUUGCCAUCCGUUAUGUGGUCAACAACAAAGAAUUUUGGGACAACAACAAAGGAAUGAAUUAUAGCCUCGGUCAUCACGGUAAUAAUAGCAUAAUACCUGCUUCUAGUCCUCCAUGGUUGCACCAGUUUUGGUAAAUACAAGUAAUCUGUUAUUAUGUUGAUAUUUUAUAUAUAUGUAUACAUAUUGGUAGUACGUCAUUGUCAGUACAAAUUAUUAAUUUAUUAUUGGGACUUUUCAGACUGGUGCUUGCUUUGCGCAAAAUAUUUUCAUGCAAUUACUGCAGAAAGCUUCAUUCUUUGGAAAUAUUCUGAGAGCAAGUAGUCAGUGUAUCUUUUCAAUUACAUGCUUUAAUAUUUUAGCUAAAAUGGCAAAAUUGUUUAAAAGAAACAAAUAUUUUUAUUUCAUUCCUAUUAUUGUUUUCAGUCAAAGACAUGAUUCACCCAUUAAGUGUUCAUAACUUAUUGGGAAUGUAUGUGUAAUUAUGCGAUUAAACUACAGUUUUUUGGUAUUUUUUGUUGAUUAUUCUUAUAAUUUUUUAAAAUUGCUUGCAUUAGAGAAAAUUUAAAAAAUAAAUAAAUAUUAUAUUACAUUUUUAUAUCAUAGAUACAGUUGUUUGUAAAUGCAUUGAAAUUGUUAUAAAUAAUAAUAAUAAUUAGUAAAGUAAACGAAUUUCUUAAACGACUCAAAAAAGUGUAAAAUUUACGUUGAUACCUUGAAAUUCAAACUAACACCUCAAAGGCAUCACGAAUUCAAUUCCUUAAAAUGUGAAACAUGCGAUUUCAUAAAAAGUAUAAGUAAUGGUCUUAUAGUAAGAAAUAAUAUUUAUUCUUACAUUCGUAUGCCAUGAUUUUUGAUGGUAGGAUAACUAUAUUAAUCAGAUUCUGGUGUUUAUAUGCUAUGUACUCUAUCCAGUGAUUUCGCUGUCAUUUUCUAAUAAAAUGAAGUUUGUAAAGAUAAGUUAUUUCAUGAACUUGAGUUGAGUACGAAGUGAAAGUAUGAAACAGUAUGAACCAAAGUUUGCUGAAAUACAUUGCAUAUGUUGGUUCUUAGCUGAGAUAAUGUAAUGAAAGGCAGAUAAAGACUCACUGCCUCGAUGAUAUUAUGAGAUCGGUACUUCCUAGCUAGGGUCAUGAUGUCUGUGAAUUUACUUCAGAGAUGUCUGUGCAGGGACUUCCAAUAACUAGUCCGAUUUAUAAAUAACUUAAAUAUUUAAUGAAAACUUAAAUAUUUAACUUAAAUAUUUAAUGAAAUAAAAUGAAUAAUUAAUAGUUAUUACAAACUACGAAAUGAUUACAUUCGUAGACGGAAAUAGAUGAGAUUAUUUACAGAUUUAAAAGCUAACAUCUUAUGUACAGAACAUCGCCUUCCAUCCAUCUUAAUGGCGAAAUCGUCUGUCUCCUCCUAUCACAAACCCCCCCCCAAAAAAAGAGUUCUUUUACGCAGCUUGCCAUGCCAUCUCAUUGUUGUGGACAAUGCCAUCCUACAGUAAUUUGCUGAAAUAGAUUUAAUGAAAUGCCAUUUUAAUAUCAAAUCCUUAUAUUUCAAUUCUAGUAGCAAAACUAAAUCUUCUGUGUAAAAAAAAACAUUUAAUUCUAAAACGAAAUCCAUUAUAUAAACUGUUGUCACAAAACGAUAAUACAAUAAUAUGCAAAGUUAACAUUUAUAAUUAUUAAAAUAGAGUUACUUUUAAAUUAAGUAUUUACAUUUUAUGCUGUUACAUUUACACAUUUUAUACCGUUACACAUAAUAUAAAUAUUUCACCUUUCGUUUAAAAUGAAAAUAGUAUGCUUACGGUUGCCAUCUAUAAAACUGGAAUUCGCGGUUUAAAUAAAUUUACAUUGAAGUACCUAGAAUGUUACAUAUCCUAUAUUGUUACAAUACUGUACUGCUGUCUUAAGGUUUGUCUGAAAGAAAUUCUGUACCAAGACUCAUAUAAUAUGGAGUUGGACUUUAUUAUUAAAUAUAUUACUAUUAUUCUAAUAAUAUACAUUUAUAUAUAAUAACUAUUCGAGUGAUAUUAACUAUUUGAGUUAACUAUUUGAGUGAUAUUCAAGUUAAUGAAAUAACUAAUCUUUGCAGUUUGCAUUUUAUUUUCAAAUGUCUGUGAAAUCAUUGCAUAGAGCCCAUUAUACAUGAACACCAAAAUAUUAUUAAUAACGUUUUUCUGCCAGCAAAAAUGUCAAACUAAUAUUAAGGUGCAUAUAUUUUAAACGGCUUUUGUUGAACCGAUAAGCAACGUAAUGCAAUAAUUUGAAAAGGAAACAAAAGAUCCAAUGCCACGUGGAUUGGCAAGUUUCCCAUUUUGCGAAGACAAUGUUUUCUUUGCAAAGUGAAAACAAAAGCGUCUUUUUCCACAUGCAAAUAGGAAAAAUGUUUAAGAGCGUUUGAAAAAUUAGAUGAAAAGUAAACUCGGAUAUAAAAGCAUCUAAAUUUUUAAGUUAUUCCUGUCAAACUAAUUUUGAUGUUUUCAAAUAAAUAUUAUAUUCCUAUGAUGAUUGAUUCAUUUCUUAAAAAUUGAAUAUUGCUGAUAAUAGAAGCAAAAAACUCCGAUUCUAAGAAAAUCAAUCUUUUUGUUUUACCUAGUUCCAAAAUAUUAAUCUACUUAGUAUCAUAAUUUUAGCAACAUUUUAUGAUUUGCUUUAUUAGUGUUAUAAUAUUGAACCCAAUGAAAACUGUGAUGUGUGUCUAAACUUAUGACAAAAUUUAUGAUAAUUAUAUUUUACCAUAAAUAUAUGAUAAUUAUUAAUCUUAAGCAGAUUUAUGUAUGUCUUUUAAUUUUACGUUGAUAUUUUAAUAACAUUUAACAUAUAUGUACUAAAAUUUAUAACACUUUUGUGACUGGUUCGUUAUUAUUUUCAGUCUUAAUAAGCUUGGCGUAUCAUGAUUUAGUUAGUAAUUUUUUACUUUAUAAUAUUAGAAAUUUUCUAAUAUUGAAAAAUUUUGAUAUAUUAUUAUGAAAUUAUUAUACAACAAAUUAUGAAUUUAUUAUAAAACAAAGAAGAAACCACGGAAAGUAAUAUUUAUUGCUAAUAUAUAUGAUCUCUAAAUCGAAAGAUAUAGUUAUCCAAAAUGCAUAAUAUAUUGCGGCCAAUAUAUUUUUAAUUAAUUUUUAAGAUGUCUGAAAAAGUAUUCUUACUUUUAACAUGCCUUAGAAAUAAACAAAAAAGAAUUCAUGUUUGAAAAAAAAAAAAAAAAAAAAAAA